rnacentral:rRNA from 1 species
UAGGGAAUUUUCGGCAAUGGGGGAAACCCUGACCGAGCAACGCCGCGUGAACGAUGAAGGUCUUCGGAUUGUAAAGUUCUGUUGUAAGUGAAGAAUGACACAUAUAGUAACUGAUAUGUGAGUGACGGUAACUUAUUAGAAAGCCACGGCUAACUACGUGCCAGCAGCCGCGGUAAUACGUAGGUGGCGAGCGUUAUCCGGAAUUAUUGGGCGUAAAGAGUGAGCAGGCGGUUAAAAAAGUCUGAAGUUAAAUGGCAAUGCUUAACGUUGUCACGCUUUGGAAACUGUUUGACUAGAGUCUUGGAGGGGGUAGUGGAAUUCCAUGUGUAGCGGUGAAAUGCGUAGAUAUAUGGAGGAACACCAGUGGCGAAGGCGACUACCUGGACAAGAACUGACGCUGAGUCACGAAAGCGUGGGGAGCAAAUA